rnacentral:rRNA from 1 species
UACGUAGGUGGCGAGCGUUGUCCGGAUUUAUUGGGCGUAAAGCGCGCGCAGGUGGGUGCGGUAAGUCUGUCGUGAAAUCUCCCGGCUCAACUGGGAGGGUGCGGGUGGAGACUGCCGGACUGGAGGCACUCAGAGCCGGUGGAAUUCCCCGGUGUAGUGGUGAAAUGCGUAGAGAUGUGGAGGAACACCGGUGGCGAAGGCGGCCAUCUGGACGGUAACUGACGCUGAGACGCGAAAAGCGUGGGUAGCAA